UACGUAGGGGGCUAGCGUUGUCCGGAAUCAUUGGGCGUAAAGAGCGUGUAGGCGGUCCGGUAAGUCCGCUGUGAAAGUCGGGGGCUCAACCCUCGAAUGCCGGUGGAUACUGUCGGGCUAGAGUACGGAAGAGGCGAGUGGAAUUCCCGGUGUAGCGGUGAAAUGCGCAGAUAUCGGGAGGAACACCAAUGGCGAAGGCAGCUCGCUGGGACGGUACUGACGCUGAGGCGCGAAAGCGUGGGGAGCAAACAGG
rnacentral:rRNA from 1 species